AGUCCCUUGAUAACGAUGGCUGUGAUGGUUGUAAAUUCCACCAUUUGAGUAAUGCACAUUCCUCGGAAGUUUCUUGAAGGAGAGUUGCUGGCCUUUCUAUCAUGACAAUUCUCUUCCUACCAAAUGAAACAUUUUGAUUUCCCCAAAGAUUGAAUCUCUUUAUCUACUAGGUCCUAACAACAAUAAGAUGCUAUGUUUCUGUUUACAAACUAGGAAGUGUCUAUUUUCCGUUCAUCUGUGCAUUCUACAAUUACUAGCAAUGCCAAUUAUGUGCCAAGCAAUGUGCUAGGUACUGUGAGUGCAGCGAAGGACACAGGCAUGGCCUUUGCCCUCAGGUUGCCUGUAGUGUAGACUAGCUUUGAAUUUGAGGCAAGUAAAAUUUCUGCUAAUGGAUUUUGGGAUGAGAAUGAGAAUGAAGGGAAAAAGUAGUAAAUGGAAAAGAGAUAUGUGGGCCUUUUCCCACAGGAGAGGUGAAGAAAAGGGAGUAGAGAAGAAGAGAAAUGCUGGGCUGAUUCAAAAAUAACCUAGAGAUAGAUUUCAUGAGUGCUUAUUAAUAUACUAAUCAUGAGAGCAACAUCUUCCAUCUCAUAUUCCGCUGGAAAAAAGUACACUGUGACAUAAAUAACCCAAAUCAAGGCCGUCUUGGCUACAGAGCAACUACCACCAACAGCAGCCGAUGAACUAGAUGAUAUGAUUAUGAGCUUUCCAACAUGUCGAUGGAGCUCACUACCUCAUCAAAGGUCAAUCAACAAACAUAUAAAAUUGCAAAUGCAAUUUGAUUCAAUUGAUAGAUCCACAUGAGACCCAACACGCUUUACCAACCUGAAAACUGCCAAGUUUUCGUCUAUCCUAAAAGCAAAUUCAGAUUCUCUACGAGCUGUACUUUUCCCCUGUGUCCGGAACAAGUUUGGCGUGUUCAAAGAAGACUAGGAAGUCCAAGCUGCUAAAUCAGGGUGAAGGAGAGGGAGAGUUAUACGGAUGAGGUCAGAGAAGUGGGCCGGGUCAUUAGGGCCUUGUAAACAUGGUUAAAGACUGAGUUUGUAUUCUUAAGUGCAAUGCAAAACCAUUGUAGGCCUUGACGCUGAUGAAUGACAUAACCUGAUUUACCAAUUAAAGAAGAUUAUUCUUGAUUCUGUGCAAGGAAUGAAUUGUGUAAGGGCAAGAAUCAAAGCAGAGACCUGUUAGAAGAUUACUGCAAAAGACUGGAGGAGAGAUUAUGCGGUCCUGGACUUGAGUGGUAACAAUGGAGGUGGUGAGACUUCACCAGAUCCUGGAUAUAUGGUGGUGAGACAGCUGACAGGACUUGCUGAUGGAUUGACGACGAGGAAAAGAAGAGAGUCCAGGAUGAAUGGCAGCAAACGACUGAGCCCUGAUGUGGCCUGGCCAGCAAAGUAGGAGAAGCCAAAAAGAGAUGUGAUCUGGAAGCUAAAUGAAGAAAUCUUUAAGGAAGUAAAGAUCAUCAAAUGAAAUUCUAUUAAGAGACCAUGCAAGGGAAACCAAGUACAAAAUGUGCGCCAGGAAAAUAUGUCCAAGCAUAAUUUCAGAUGCAUGCUAGAAUCCCAAAGUUUCCUGAAGUUCCUUCAGACUAGCUCUAGAAGAAAUUCGCCUGGUCACAGAUACAAGAUUUCUCUGCAGAAGAGAUUCAGGAAUGGUAAUGUGUUUGCAAGGAAGAGCUGGGGGGUAAAUUGUCUCGAAACUUCUGCCAAAAACUAUGCUUAUUUGGGGUCACCUGCCAAAUCUGCCCGUGAAUUCACAUCGGCUGGGAAGCCUGCCUUUUAGAGGGCCUUCAAGAAGUGCCUUAUUGUGAUAAAAAUCUGAAAACUAUAGUGGACUUUAUAUGCGAGUAAAUCUAGACUUUGCUCCUGAGGCUUGUGAACUAAACUGGGUUCUGACAAUGUAAGGAACAAUCUGGUUACCUCCUUUCACUCUUACAUGUUGUUUCUUCUGCUCUUUGUAAAUCCCUUAGAUUCCUACUCCAAUGGCUAGGAGGAAUCAAACUGUGGAACUAGCCUGUAGCUCCGAACCUGAAGCAACCCCAAACUCUGUUAUCUUUCCUUUCAUUUCCCAUAACCUCCAUUUUCAUGACGACAAAGUCUUUGGUGGUGGUGAUGUAAAGCCACCAAGUAUGAAAUAGUUACACUGCACUAUCUAGUCAAUGUUAUAUUCUUCCUGCUCUCCCACAUAGAUAACUUUAUGUACAACUGUGCUUUCACAACGUGGCAACUGCCAGGGUUCUUUGAGAACCCUAACUUUAUGCCUACUGCCCGUCUUCACUAUUUUCCUACUACAAUUCCAUUGCCUAUCAUUUCAGACAUUCUCUUGCCAAUAUCCCCAACUUCCUUGUCUUCCAUCACAAAUAUAUAAACAGGUAUUUUUUACCUUUUAUUACUUUCUUCCUCCUUGUUUCAAAGGAUGGGUCACUCCUUCUCCCGUUUAUACUUAUCCAUCAACCUAUUCACUAUCCCCUUUCUCCUCAGAAAUUCUAUACAUGUCCCAACUUUUUUUACAUCAUGGAAAACAUAGAAAAAUGACAAUUCACUAGAAUAAACUGGAGGGGAUUGAGGCAUCUAUGCGGGAGAUAUAUAUGUAUAUAUGGUAAAUAUAUACACACACAUCUA